rnacentral:miRNA from 1 species
UCUCCCCAUUCCUUGUGAUUGCU